AGUAACGCGUGAGUAACCUGCCUUUCAGAGGGGGAUAACGUUCUGAAAAGAACGCUAAUACCGCAUGAGACUACAGAGCUGCAUGGCUCAGUGGUCAAAGGAGCAAUCCGCUGAAAGAUGGACUCGCGUCCGAUUAGAUAGUAGGCGGGGUAACGGCCCACCUAGUCGACGAUCGGUAGCCGGACUGAGAGGUUGAACGGCCACAUUGGGACUGAGAUACGGCCCAGACUCCUACGGGAGGCAGCAUG
rnacentral:rRNA from 1 species